AUUGAACGCUGGCGGCAUGCCUAACACAUGCAAGUCGAACGGCAGCACAGCAUGUAGCAAUACAUGUGGGUGGCGAGUGGCGGACGGGUGAGUAACGCGUGGGAAUCUGCCCUAUAGUGGGGGACAACCCGACGAAAGUCGGGCUAAUACCGCAUACGCCCUACGGGGAAGGCUUCGGCCGCUAUUGGAUGAGCCCGCGUCGGAUUAGCUAGUUGGUGAGGUAAUGGCUCACCAAGGCGACGAUCCGUAGCUGGUCUGAGAGGACGAUCAGCCACACUGGGACUGAGACACGGCCCAGACUCC
rnacentral:rRNA from 1 species